rnacentral:rRNA from 1 species
GAUGAACGCUGGCGGCGUGCCUAAUACAUGCAAGUCGAGCGAACGGACGAGAAGCUUGCUUUUCUGAUGUUAGCGGCGGACGGGUGAGUAACACGUGGAUAACCUACCUAUAAGACUGGGAUAACUUCGGGAAACCGGAGCUAAUACCGGAUAAUAUUUUGAACCGCAUGGUUCAAAAGUGAAAGACGGUCUUGCUGUCACUUAUAGAUGGAUCCGCGCUGCAUUAGCUAGUUGGUAAGGUAACGGCUUACCAAGGCAACGAUGCAUAGCCGACCUGAGAGGGUGAUCGGCCACACUGGAACUGAGACACGGUCCAGACUCCGACGGGAGGCAGCAGUAGGGAAUCUUCGGCAAUGGGCGAAAGCCUGACGGAGCAACGCCGCGUGAGUGAUGAAGGUCUUCGGAUCGUAAAACUCUGUUAUUAGGGAAGAACAUAUGUGUAAGUAACUGUGCACAUCUUGACGGUACCUAAUCAGAAAGCCACGGCUAACUACGUG